AUGACGGAUGCCAUAUCAAGAUACUGGUGGGGUGACGACGAUAACCACAAGAGGAUACAUUGGGCGUCAUGGUGGAAGCUUUGCAUUCCGAAGAACAAAGGGGGGAUGGGAUUCAGGGAUUUGCAUAGUUUUAACCUCGCUUUGUUGGCCAAGCAAGUAUGGAGAUUAUUGGAAAAUCCGGAUUCUUUGUGUGCGCGGGUCCUUAGAUCGAAAUACUACCCGGACGGGAAACUUUUAGAAGCGAAGAUGAAGAGUGGAUGUUCAUUCACAUGGCAGAGUAUAUGUGCUGGCAUUCAUACCUUCAAAAGAGGGGCCAUUUGGAGGAUAGGCGAUGGAUCACAAGUUAAUAUUUGGUCUGACCCAUGGAUA
rnacentral:rRNA from 1 species